rnacentral:misc_RNA from 1 species
UUGUAGCGAGGUAGCAUAUGAAUACUUGGCCAAAGUUUCAUUUGUGAAUGCAUACAAUGUCCUAAUAUAAGAAACUGCCUGUUCAGCUAUACUUGCUGCUUCAGCAUAUGCAUCCUGAAUGUUCUCUGCAAGUCUAUGAAGAAAUAUAUUUGAUAUUCCCCCAGCUGCGACAAUAAAAGGGCCAGUUGCUAAAGUUAUAAGGGCAAUUUGCCAGCAAUUGACAAAUCCAAUAACAAGGCCACUGAAAAAAGUAGCCAUGUUAUGAAUAUAAUUCCCAACCUUUUCACUAAGAGCAGAUUGAAUAAGUAGCACAUCACUCAAAACUUG